UACGUAUGGUGCGAGCGUUAAUCGGAAUUACUGGGCGUAAAGUGUGCGCAGGUGGCUUCGCAAGUCGAGUGUGAAAUCCCCGGGCUUAACCUGGGAAUUGCGCUCGAAACUACGGAGCUGGAGUAUGGCAGAGGGAGGUGGAAUUCCACGUGUAGCGGUGAAAUGCGUAGAGAUGUGGAGGAACACCAAUGGCGAAGGCAGCCUCCUGGGCCAAUACUGACACUCAUGCACGAAAGCGUGGGGAGCAAACAGG
rnacentral:rRNA from 1 species